rnacentral:rRNA from 1 species
AACGGGUGAGUAACACGUGGGUAACCUGCCCAUCAGAAGGGGAUAACACUUGGAAACAGGUGCUAAUACCGUAUAACAAUAAAAACCGCAUGGUUUCUAUUUGAAAGGCGCUUUUGCGUCACUGAUGGAUGGACCCGCGGUGCAUUAGCUAGUUGGUGAGGUAACGGCUCACCAAGGCAACGAUGCAUAGCCGACCUGAGAGGGUGAUCGGCCACAUUGGGACUGAGACACGGCCCAAACUCCUACGGGAGGCACCAGUAGGGAAUCUUCGGCAAUGGACGAAAGUCUGACCGAGCAACGCCGCGUGAGUGAAGAAGGUUUUCGGAUCGUAAAACUCUGUUGUUAGAGAAGAACAAGGAUGAGAGUAGAAUGUUCAUCCCUUGACGGUAUCUAACCAGAAAGCCACGGCUAACUACGUGCCAGCAGCCGCGGUAAUACGUAGGUGGCAAGCGUUGUCCGGAUUUAUUGGGCGUAAAGCGAGCGCAGGCGGUUUCUUAAGUCUGAUGUGAAAACCCCGGCUCACCGGGGAGGGUAUUGGAACUGGGAACUUGAGUCAGAAGAGGAGAGUGGAUUCCAUGUGUAGCGGUGAAUGCGUAGAUAUAUGGAGGAACACCAGUGGCGAAGCGGCUCUCUGGUCUGUACUGAGCUGAUGCUCGUAGCGUGGGGAGCAACAGGAUUAAAUACCCGGUAGCCACGCCGAAACGAUGAUGCUAGU